rnacentral:lncRNA from 1 species
CAUUACUAAAGUAAGCAUUCUGAAUGAAGUACUUCAAACCUACUUUCUAUGUCUAUAGGACUGAUUCUUUUUGCAAACAGUCCUGUCGCUUUUGUACAGUGUAAGUAUUUGAGUAUUUUACAACCCCACAAGUUCAAGUGUUCAGUUAUAAUGCUGGUCCUGCAUAAUCUGUCAGCACCUUAAAUUUUAGUUUAUCUGUAUGGAUCCCAAAUAACACUGAAUUGGAGUUGAAGCCAACUUCACAUCUGAAGUCAUAAUCAAGGAAAGAGUAGCCCAACACCCAAAAAUUAUUGAAAAGAAGUUUAAAUUGUUACCCAAGUCUCUUAAAAAGUAUAAAAGAAGAUCACUUUGCUCUGUAACUCUAAUCUAGCUAACAUACAAAUUUAGUCCUCUCCACAUAGCCUUAUAUUCCCAGCGCACAUUGCAUCACAUCCCUUCCUGGAUAUCUGCUUCACUCCAUCUG